rnacentral:rRNA from 1 species
GAUGAACGCUGGCGGCGUGCCUAAUACAUGCAAGUCGAGCGAACGGACGAGAAGCUUGCUUCUCUGAUGUUAGCGGCGGACGGGUGAGUAACACGUGGAUAACCUACCUAUAAGACUGGGAUAACUUCGGGAAACCGGAGCUAAUACCGGAUAAUAUUUUGAACCGCAUGGUUCAAAAGUGAAAGACGGUCUUGCUGUCACUUAUAGAUGGAUCCGCGCUGCAUUAGCUAGUUGGUAAGGUAACGGCUUACCAAGGCAACGAUGCAUAGCCGACCUGAGAGGGUGAUCGGCCACACUGGAACUGAGACACGGUCCAGACUCCUACGGGAGGCAGCAGUAGGGAAUCUUCCGCAAUGGGCGAAAGCCUGACGGAGCAACGCCGCGUGAGUGAUGAAGGUCUUCGGAUCGUAAAACUCUGUUAUGAGGGAAGAACAUAUGUGUAAGUAACUGUGCACAUCUUGACGGUACCUAAUCAGAAAGCCACGGCUAACU